CACGUAGGGCGCAAGCGUUUGUCCGGAAUUAUUGGGCGUAAAGAGCUCGUAGGCGGUCUGUUGCGUCCGCUGUGAAAACUCGGGGCUUAACCCCGAGCCUGCAGUGGGUACGGGCAGACUAGAGUGUGGUAGGGGAGACUGGAAUUCCUGGUGUAGCGGUGAAAUGCGCAGAUAUCAGGAGGAACACCGAUGGCGAAGGCAGGUCUCUGGGCCACUACUGACGCUGAGAAGCGAAAGCAUGGGGAGCGAACAGG
rnacentral:rRNA from 1 species